rnacentral:rRNA from 1 species
UACGUAGGGUGCGAGCGUUGUCCGGAAUUAUUGGGCGUAAAGAGCUCGUAGGCGGCUUGUCGCGUCGGAUGUGAAAGCCCGGGGCUUAACUCCGGGUCUGCAUUCGAUACGGGCAGGCUAGAGUUCGGUAGGGGAGAUCGGAAUCCUGGUGUAGCGGUGAAAUGACGCAGAUAUCGAGGAGGAACCACCGGUGGCGGAAGGCGGGUCACUGGGCCGAAAGCUGACGACUGGGAGGAAGCGGAAAGCGUCGGGGAGCAAACAGGA